rnacentral:rRNA from 1 species
CGUCCCUGGAAAUAGCUCCCGCAUGAGACCGUACCCCAAACCGACACAGGUGGACUGGUAGAGUAUACCAAGGCGCUUGAGAGAACUAUGCUGAAGGAACUCGGCAAAUUGCUCCCGUAAGUUCGCGAGAAGGGAGCCUGGCAUCAGGCAACUGGUGUCCAGGGGCACAGACCAGGGGGUGGCGACUGUUUAUUAAAAACACAGGGCUCUGCGAAGUCGCAAGACGACGUAUAGGGUCUGACGCCUGCCCGGUGCCGGAAGGUUAAAAGGAGGGGUGAGAGCUCCGAAUUGAAGCCCCGGUAAACGGCGGCCGUAACAAUAACGGUCCUAAGGUAGCGAAAUUCCUUGUCGGGUAAGUUCCGACCUGCACGAAUGGCGUAACGACUUCCCCACUGUCUCCAACAGAGACUCAGCGAAAUUGAAUUCUCCGUGAAGAUGCGGAGUACCCGCGGUCAGACGGAAAGACCCCGUGCACCUUUACUACAGCUUCGCAGUGGCGUUAGUGGCGAUAUGUGUAGGAUAGGCGGGAGGCUUUGAAACCCAGGCGCCAGUCUGGGUGGAGCCAUCCUUGAAAUACCGCCCUUAUCCUCAUUGACGUCUAACCGCGGUCCAUGAACCUGGAUCCGGGACCCUGCGUGGCGGGUAGUUUGACUGGGGCGGUCGCCUCCCAAAGAGUAACGGAGGCGCGCGAAGGUUGGCUCAGAGCGGUCGGAAAUCG